rnacentral:rRNA from 1 species
UACGUAGGGUGCAAGCGUUAAUCGGAAUUACUGGGCGUAAAGCGUGCGCAGGCGGUUGUGCAAGACCGAUGUGAAAUCCCCGGGCUUAACCUGGGAAUUGCAUUUGUGACUGCACGGCUAGAGUGUGUCAGAGGGGGGUAGAAUUCCACGUGUAGCAGUGAAAUGCGUAGAUAUGUGGAGGAAUACCGAUGGCGAAGGCAGCCCCCUGGGAUAACACUGACGCUCAUGCACGAAAGCGUGGGGAGCAAACAGG